AAAUAAAUAAAAAAUCUCAUAGAAAUCCAAAAGAAAUCCAAAAGAAAUCUUAAAGAAAUUUUAAAGAAAUCUAAAAAAAUCUAAAAAAUAAUCCUUGUAAAACCUUCAAAAAACCUUAAAGAAAUAAAAAAAAAAAUCCAAAAGAAAAAUCAAAAACAAUCUUUAAAGAAAUCCUAAAGAACUCUAAAAGAAAUCUACAAGAAUCUUAAAGAAAUCCUAAAAAUUUCUAAAGAAAUCCUAAAUCUUAAUCCAAUCUUAAUUAGAUCCUAAAUCCCAAAUCAACUCCUAUCAGAUGCUAAGCCCUAAAUCAAAUCCUAAUCAAUUUCUAAAAAAAUCU
rnacentral:lncRNA from 1 species